ACAUGGCAUGCCUCAGUACGGCGAGUGAGCGGCAAAAGCUCAAAUUUUAAAGCUGGCACCUUCGGUGUCCGCGUUGUAAUUUUGUGAGGCAUCUCCGGGUAGGGCGCCGGCCUAAGUUCCUUGGAACAGGACGUCAUAGAGGGUGAGAAUCCCGUGCUUGGCUGGCUGUCCCCGUCCAUGUGAGGUGUCUUCGACGAGUCGAGUUGUUUGGGAAUGCAGCUCAAAAUGGGUGGUAAAUUUCAUCUAAAGCUAAAUAUUGGUGGGAGACCGAUAGCGCACAAGUAGAGUGAUCGAAAGAUGAAAAGCACUUUGAAAAUAGAGUUAAAAAGUACGUGAAAUUGUUGAAAGGGAAGCGCUUGAGACCAGACUUCGGUGGGGGGUGAUCAGCUGUCCUUCUGGGCGGUGCACUUGCUCCCCUCCGGGCCAGCAUCGGUUGGGGCGGCGGGAUAAAGAUCCCGGGAAUGUGGCUCCUUUCGGGGAGUGUUAUAGCCCGGGUGAAUGCCGCCAGUUCCGACCGAGGACCGCGCCUUCGGGCUAGGAUGCUUGGCAUAAUGGUCUUCAGCGACCCGUCUUGAACCCCGGGACCA
rnacentral:rRNA from 1 species